rnacentral:rRNA from 1 species
UACAGAGACCUCAAGCGUUAUCCGGAUUUAUUGGGCGUAAAGCGUCCGCAGGUGGUCCGUCAAGUCGUCGGUCAAAUUCCAGGGCUCAACUCUGGGUCUGCCGACGAUACUGACGGGCUGGAGGCCGGAAGAGGCAAGCGGAAUUGCCGGUGUAGCGGUAAAAUGCGUUUAUAUCGGCAAGAACACCAAAGGCGAAGGCAGCUUGCUAGAACGGUCCUGACACUCAUGGACGAAAGCGUGGGGAG